ACCACAAUACUGCUAAAUUGUUGGUCGCACAGUGCGCAGCACAGCAGCAACGGUCCGGUCCCACGAAUUCAUGAUUUAUCAACACAUUCUGCUGUAGCCCGGCACCUGCGUGCACGGCUUUGUUGACAAUAUUAGACGGACUACCCAUUAAGUCUUCUUUUAUUUGUUGGAUAGUAGUCUCGAGUUACGUUUUGUUCAAAGAUAGCUCUACACGCGCCUGCUCCUCUGAGACACCUCUUGUCCUCAAAGCCCAGCGUCCCCCCCUCACUUGACAAGUUAAAGGGGGGAAAAAAACAACAACAGCAGCACCGCAAACUACGAGAGCAAUGUCGACUCCACUCCGGCACAAAACAUAGGCCUCGAUAAGAGAAGACGGAGCCAUCUGGAGGCUGCCAGAUAGCGAACUCCCACGCCAUCCGCGAGACCUCACUCUCAUCCGAGGCGGCGGCCGAAAGAAAGACGACUGACACUUUCAUUUUGUUAACUUUCAAAAUUAACUCAUUGGCAUUCAAAGCAUAUGCAGCUUUUUUUUUUUUUUUUUUUUUUUUUUUUUUUUGCUUCGUAAACAUAAUGUUACUCAUGCAAAAUCUUUGACGGGUCAGUCCCUCAACUAAUGUUUAUUAUUGCUGUGUAUUGUGCUAGUGAAGUAUUUGUAAUAUUUUGCUCACCUCAUUUAGCCACACGAGAUGGUCAAAAUAUGAGAAACUGUCUUCAGUAUGAUGCACUGCACUUCUAGACCCAAGCAAGCAAACAAACAUCUAUCUAUCAAGUCUCUCUCGCGCUUCUCCCUACUAGGGUCGCGGGUGGGCUAGAGUUUAUCCCAGAUGACUUUGGGCGAGAGACGGGUCACACAUGAACUGGUUGUCAGCUAAUCACGGGGCACAUACAGACAAACAGCAGAGCUGCCCACCUAUAGAAAUUCACUACCAGAACAAUUUGUCUGUAUUUCCAUUUCUUUAAAAUUAUGUCAAGAACAUUACCACGGUACAGUUAUUGCAGUAUAUCAUGUAAAACACAGGUGUCAAACUGGUGGCCUGGGGGCCAGAUCCAGCCCGCUGCAACAUUUUAUGUGGCCCUCGAAAGCAAAUCAUGUCCUUCAACUUAAUGUUUCUUGCGAAAAUAUUAAAAUUGAAAAUUGUCUUCACUUCUAAUAACGUUUAGAAAUUGCAAGCAUUUUUUCUUGCCAAUCCCCCUUUUUUAACAUGUUUUUAAUGAGUUGUAAAAACAUGUUUUUUUAAAGGCUUAUGAUUUAAAAACUAGUUAUCCAUCAAUUUGUUGUGCAUAUGUAUUAUUAUAUGAGGUGCUAAUUAAUUUAUUUGGGUUCAUAGUCAUAAGGGCCCUCUGAGGAAAAUCAUAACUACGUGAUAAAAAUGAGUUUGACACCCCUGAUGUAAAAAGAAUAAAAAUAAUUCUACAUGCUG